GAUCGCCACAAGGUGUGCGUGGACAACGCCAGGAAGAUUAGCAACUGCCCAAAUGGCAUCCCCGUUCAAAAUAAUCUUGACUACUUCGACAACGAGCUUCGGAAGGCUCCGAAGGAGAAGUGCUCCGCCUUGGCGGCAAAGCGUAACGCGCGAAGACGAUUCCGGAGUAGUACGGUGCCGCGCUGCCACCUCCGCGAGUACGCUGGGACGUACUUCACGUGCGCCACGGUGUUCCUGGCGGCUACGUUUCCAGACCCGCCGGCGGUUGACGAACUCUGCAGGUUGCUCGCGGAGUUUAAGAAGUGCGUCGCGAGCCUCAUACCGUGCCGAACGGACAGCGACCUCACGCCGCGGCUCGACUUCUUCUCGUCAGUACUGACUGAGGGCUACGCGGAGAGCUGCAAAGGUCGCAACAU
rnacentral:lncRNA from 1 species